GUUAGGUUGUUACUUUCCUCAGCAGCUUCAGAUUCAGUCAGAUGCUAUGGUAGACUAUGUGACCGCUCUCUCCCAUGCCCUGACCAAAAUACAUGCCCAAGUGUUUUCUUCUAUUCCAGAUCCUGAGUCAAAUACAGGUACACACAAGCUGCUUCCUGGUGACUGGGUUAUGGUCAAGAAGUUUCUCAGGAAACACACCCUAGAACCGAG